CCUACGGGUGGCAGCAGUGGGGAAUAUUGGGCAAUGGGCGCAAGCCUUACCCAGCAAUACCGCGUGAGUGAAGAAGGUCUUCGGAUUGUAAAGCUCUUUUAUCAGGGACGAACAGAUGACGGUACCUGAAGAACAAGCCCCGGCUAACUACUUGCCAGCAGCCGCGGUAAAACGUAGGGGGCGAGCGUUGUCCCGAAUGACUGGGCGUAAAGGGUGCGUAGGCGGCAUAAAAAGUUAGAAGGGAAAUACCCAGAGCUUAACUCGGGUGCUGCUUCUAAGACUGUUGAGCUUGAGUGUGGGAGAGGUUGAUGGAAUGCAUGGUGUAGCGGUGGAAUGCGUAGAGAUUA
rnacentral:rRNA from 1 species